GGCAGCGUACCCAAGUAUGGCUUAAGGGGCCUGACUGCAAAUCAGGUAUUCGCGGGUUCGAAUCCCGCCGCUGUCU
rnacentral:tRNA from 1 species